CAGGCUGAAAACAGCUUGCAUUUACGCAAAAUAGGUCGGUGGCCUUUCAAGAAACAAUAACAAUACCUACAGAUAGUGUAUGAAGACAUGGUAAUGUUUCUAUUGCUGCCUAAGUCUCCAAUGCCUCAUCAGCAUGGGGGCUCCUCAGCCAUAUCACUGUUACUGGAAUUUCACCACACACUGGACUAAUGAGAAACUGUAUUAUAAUAGUAAGGUCUGCCACAGCAACAAUGGACCUGGAAAUUAGAAAACAAAAUAAACAUCACCUACAAUGGACUGGCAACCUGUCCAGGGUGUACCCCGCCUUUGCCUGAUUGCCAGCUGAGAAGCCGAGAUUGUUUGUGUAGGUUUUCUUCAUUCUCAUAUCAAAAACAUUUAAAUAAUGAAUUCCUAAGAGGUCUUGUUAACAUAAAUGCCUGGCAGCAAGCUCACUUUUGCUAAUUAGGGUGCAGCUAUUUUAUAAAAGACAGAUGUAGACAGCUGUCCCAAGGAGGUGGCAUUCAAAUGGACAACAAAUAAAUGCAUCAGCCUGGGAAGUUUAUGUUUGUCAGAGUGGUGGGAAAAUCAAUGGACUCCUGCGUGGGCGGCUGCACUCUGAUUGGCCAGCUGUCUGCGCCGUGGAGAAGGACUCAGUCAAGGAUAUUAAUCUAAACAUCAGUCAUGCAUGGGGAACACCCCAUAAGGAGAAUAAUCUUGCUCAUCCAUGCAUCUCCUGCAGGAGGUGGGGAGGGGCACUCUGAGGAAGGGAGCUGAAAGGGGAAGUAUGUCAGGCUAUCAUCUCAGGAGAUGUGAUGUGGGCUCACUCUAGGCACAUGUGCAGUAAAACCCAAACUGAAGAUGCUGGCACCAUCAGAACUGAAAUGUGCUCAUACUGUGUUCCUGUGUGGGAAAAGAAGAAAGAUCCAUAGCUGAGUUAUAUGUUAAUGUAAUUCAUCUUAUUGCAAUCUAAUC